CCUACGGGUGGCAGCAGUGGGGAAUAUUGGGCAAUGGACGCAAGUCUGACCCAGCAACGCCGCGUGAAGGAAGAAGGCUUUCGGGUUGUAAACUUCUUUUAAGGGGGAAGAGCAGAAGACGGUACCCCUUGAAUAAGCCACGGCUAACUACGUGCCAGCAGCCGCGGUAAUACGUAGGUGGCAAGCGUUGUCCGGAUUUACUGGGUGUAAAGGGCGUGCAGCCGGAGAGACAAGUCAGAUGUGAAAUCCGCAGGCUCAACCUGCGAACUGCAUUUGAAACUGUUUCCCUUGAGUAUCGGAGAGGUCAUCGGAAUUCCUAGUGUAGCGGUGAAAUGCGUAGAUAUCACGAAGAACCCCGAUUGCGAAGGCAGCCUGCCGCAGCGUUACUGACGCUGAAGCUCGAAAGCGCGGGUAUCGAACAGGAUUAGAUACCCGAGUAGUC
rnacentral:rRNA from 1 species